UCCGAGACCACUACACUAUUCUCCUCCGGGCUGCGCCUAGAUGCCACGGGAUAAGCGAGCGAGAUGACACUGUGGGACAUCGCGGACGUACCGUCAAAGGGAAAGAUAGAGAGAGAGAGAGAGAGAGAGAGAGAGAAAGAACGAGAGCCGCACCACAAAAAUCUUCCCGCGAGCCUUUCAGCCGGACGAAGAAGCCUCUCGCCGGAAGUCGGUCAACCUAAAAGACCAUGAUCAACUUGGGAAGCGAAAUGGGAAGAAAAAGGAAUACGCGAGAAAACGACUCAUCGACGACGAUCUUACACAGAAUCCGUGACGGAGCUUCUCGUGUCGGAGCAGAAAUCGGCGCAUCAUCUCAUCCGGAGUUAAGAAACUUGAGACAACAGAGAGAAAGAGAAAGAAAGAGAAAGAGAGAGAGAGAGAGAGAGAAGGUGGAGGGGGAGGGGAAGAAGGGAGAGAAGGGUGGAAGACGUGCGAUCGUUUCGCGUGAGCGAUUCUCUCGGAUGCAACUCCCGAUAUCGGCGCUGCAACGAGUCCGCAAAAACGCAUUAUGCAUCGGCUUAUGCGAGAUCUCUUCGCGCCGCUAUCAUCGGGGAAGAAGGCACGUACAGAAGGCGCGAUACAGUUCCCAGUGGAGAGAAACAGUCAUGCGCGAAGGCCUUGAGAGCAGCUGGAGGCCUCACCUUGGCAUUCUUCAGCGCGAUUAGGGUCGUUUAGAAGCUCCGGAUGCAUUAUGGAUGGGGUGCAUAUCUCUGAGUCAAUUAAAGAGCGUGCGCGCGCGCGUACACGCGUGCACGUCUCUUCCUUCCUUUUCCUGCUUUUCUCUCCCUCCUUUUUUUCUCUCUCUCUUUCUCUCUCUCUCUCUCUCUCCGCGUGCCUUCUCCUUCCCUUUAUCCGAUUCUUCUUCUAUUUUCCCCGCUCGUCAUGCUGCGUCGUAUACAUAUACCUGCGCUCAUUACGGGGCGCCCGACUGAUGAGAAGGUGCAUUGACUGCGGUUGGACGUGAUUUUACGAGCUAAGGUAACGAGAAAUCAUCUCGGCGGACGAUAUUGCGUAAAAACGAUCUGGUUAACUGCCGGCUUUGCGCGCACAGAUGUACACUCGCCGAUUGCAAUUUGUCUGUCAACUAUUAUUCGAUAGCUGCAAAACGCGCUUCUCGCUUUUUCCAACGCGUCUUCUUUACAAGCGAAGUUGUUGCUUGUUUAAGUUUUUUUUAAAAAAAAUUUAAUUCCGCGAGUUAGAACGUCGAUGGAGAAUAUUUCACGAGCUGAAAAAAAUUACGCGCGCGAGAUCCUUUUUCCAAAUGAUUGUAUAUACUUAUAUACAUUGAUGUAAUCAUCAUAUUAAUGCGUCCGUCAGUGGCACGUGUCGUGAAUGAGGGGGAUCUCGCUUGAGAGAAAGAGAAUCGCAUUCAUUUCGCAAUCGGACGGCGGCUCAACAACA